ACUUUAUGAGUAUACCUUGUACCUCUGCCUUCCAAGCAGAAAGAUUGAUAAAUUUCAAAUAAAGUA
rnacentral:tRNA from 1 species